GUUCCAUGUGAACAGCAGUUGGACAUGGGUCAGUCGAUCCUAAGAAAACGGCGAAAGCUUGUUCGAAUUUACGACAUAAAAAAUGUAAAACUGUGUGUGUGUAGUGUGCUUGUGUGUGUACUAUACUGAUAUAGCAGUAGUGGUGGUGGUGGUUUGUCAGUCAGCAGUAGUGUUUGUCUGUGGCAGUGCUGCUGCUGCUGCUGCUGCUGCUGCUGCUAUUGUUUACUUGCUGUUGUUGUGUGUUGUUGUACACACACACCCACACAAUUCUGUGUGCAGUUGUCGUAUGUUUUCG
rnacentral:rRNA from 1 species